GGGGGAAGCUCAUUGGUAGAGUGUGUGCUUAGCAUGCAUGAGGUCCUGGGUUCAAUCCCUGGUACCUCCA
rnacentral:tRNA from 1 species